CCUGAUUUUUGAUUUUUAAGGUAGGACUCACUGUGUAGCUGAGGCUGGUCUCAGACUUUGCCUGUCUCCACAUCUCAAGUGCCCAGGUUAACUUAUCGAUACCAUCUUGUCGUUUGAUGGGAUUUCAAGCACCCAUCUAGAAGGAAGGACUACAGGCGAAAUCCCUCUGCACCCUUGCUGAGCACAGGAGGUGUUAAGAACCAAAGAUUCGCUAUUGUUGCUUCAUCUCUACAUGGCUAAUUGAGAAUGCAUGGUGUGGUGUGACAGCCAGCGAGUUUGUACCGUGUGCAGGAAGCUUCCACAGAUGAUAAAGCCAAGAACAUUAUUUAAAGCAUGGUGCAAAUUGUUUCUCCAACACAGGUGAUGUCAUUUUUGGUGGUUGAACAUGCUUCAGGCCAGCCACACAUCCCACAAUCGCCUCUUCAGACAUGAAAAUGAUUGAAUUCCCCGAGCAGAAAAUGAAAACCACGAAACGGGCAGAAUAACAAGCUUCACUUCUGUUCCAUCAAAUACAGGAUUUAAAUACACAA